CUGUGGGGCUCGGGAUACUGGAGUCCCAUCAGCUCCAGAACAGGAGAAAGGCACAACAAGCUUAUGGCUGCCUGUGAGGGGAAGCACUGACCUGCUCCCUUGUGUGGAUUACAGAAAUUUUCCCCAGUUUCCCAGCCCAUAUGGAGGUUUUCAGCCUGCAAGUGUUCCUACUGACAGCCCCAAAGGCACCACAGACCCACAGAGAGAAAUUACAGUUCUCUGCUCUUUUGUCUUAUGAUUUGUCUCUUUUUCUUGCUGACUUGUUCUCAUCAGGAAGGCUUUUUUCACCAUAGUUCUGAAAGGUGAUCUUUCUUCAUGCAGGAAGAGCAAAGGGUCAAAUCCUUGCCUUAUUGUUGUUUUCCUCCCUGUACGUUGGAUGUGUUUGCUGGCUCCUAUUCCAGAGUUGUGAUUGGCAUCAAAGCUGGCAGUGACAAUUGUCUCUACCGAUCUCUAGACUUCAUUAAAUUAGGUAGUUAACAUUCAGAAAAAGCUUUGCUAGUUUCUGCCAAAGUGAAUUUCCUUGAUUUCCACUCCAGCCUUCCCCCCACUGCCUGGCUCCGCUGUGGUUUUCUGAGCUGACAUAGAACAGCAAUGGAUUUUUUUUACUGAAUUUCCUACAGGUCACCUUCCAGCUCUGAGCUGGUGAAGAAGAUGGAGGAGGGGUGCAGAAGGCAGGUGGAACUGGAGACCCUGCAGAUUCAGUGGUCUUCAAUCCAGUCUUCAGGCUGCCGAGCUCCUCCUUUUGUACAGUCUUUUUCCAGAGGCACAUCUCUGAUUUAUUCAGCUUGACAAAAUCCUAAGCCUGCAGUCUCCUUGUCCUCCUGUUAAAUGGCUUGCAUGCGUCUCCAUCCUCACCAUGCCUUCUCAGAGAGCACCGGUGUUGCGCAUCUUUGCAUUCCUCUGAGGUGCAUUUGGUCUUCCUUCUCUGCAGCUCCUCCCCUUCCCUUUUUCCUGACACAGAUUCAAGUUUAAAAAAAAAACAUAUUCCUUUUCUAAGCCAGCACUGUGCACAAAUAGCUCUCUGCUCUUCUUCACAUGCCACCACUUUCCUCCAAAACCUGUCACUCUCAUCUGGCUGCUUAACUGUGUAAUGAUACGAAACGUUCACUCUAAUGAGCCCCUGCUGUGGAUACCAUCUGAUCCUGCCUUGCUUUCAUGCUUUCUGACUCUGACCUCACUAAAUGUCUUACAUAGGCUUUCCUUCUCCCAAAUUUCAAACUGCUUCUUGAACCUACACCAUACUUGCGUGUGUACAGAUCAUACAACAUUCAUCUUUUCUGCUAAUGUUUUCAGAAGGAACAAGGACUAUCUUGAUGGGAAUUUUCAGCAAAUACCACGUGAUACAUCUCGGACAGCUGCCAUGGAAACUUCAUCCUGAAGUUUUGCAAAGUAGAUGAAAAUAAGAUUUUGUAAUGAAAAAUGUCAGGGAGCCUAAAUAGCAGACUGUUCCUUGGUGGUUAGUCCGUUGGCAAUUGGAAAGCACGGAGCUGCCAGCCCUUCAUCCUCAUGCACAGAGAUCAGUGUAUGUGGGACGAACAACCUGAUUAAAUGAAUAUGAUUUAAGUUUUUAAAGGGAAUCCAGAAGAACUGUCCUACUUGUGGCUUUAGAUGCUGAACUUCUAAAUAAUACCUCUGUUUUCUAUAGCUUUGUGAUGCACCUAUACAAACUGAUUGAAGGAUGAAAUGACAGCUGUGGUGCCUGGAGAUCGCUGCAUUCAUGCUUUGCUUUACUCAGGGUGGAAAGGCAGCAAGGUUGGAAAGAGCCAGUUGCAGAAGAUGCUUUUCUGACAUGGUGGUUUGUUUGAUGGGCCUGAUCUAGAGCUAUCUGGCUUAGUUAAGAUCUGAGAAACGACAGCCUUCUGUCCCUUCCCCAUAUAUCUGUGUUUGCAUUCAAAUGGUGAGUUGAAAUAUUGGAAUAUGUCUUCUUUUUUUUUUUUUUUUUUUUUAAUUUUCCUUUGGGAUAUGAUAAAUUUUGCAAUUGCCAGAAUAAAUACAGAUUUAUCUCAA